GGGCCCGCACAAGCAGUGGAGUAUGUGGUUUAAUUCGAAGCAACGCGAAGAACCUUACCAGGGCUUGACAUCCUCUGACGACGGUAGAGAUAUCGUUUUCCCUUCGGGGACAGAGAGACAGGUGGUGCAUGGUUGUCGUCAGCUCGUGUCGUGAGAUGUUGGGUUAAGUCCCGCAACGAGCGCAACCCCUAUGGUCAGUUGCCAGCACGUAAAGGUGGGCACUCUGGCGAGACUGCCGUUGACAAAACGGAGGAAGGUGGGGACGACGUCAAAUCAUCAUGCCCCUUAUGUCCUGGGCUACACACGUACUACAAUGGUAACAACAGAGGGCAGCCAGGUCGCGAGGCCGAGCGAAUCCCAAAAUGUUAUCUCAGUUCAGAUUGCAGGCUGCAACUCGCCUGCAUGAAGUCGGAAUUGCUAGUAAUGGCAGGUCAGCAUACUGCCGUGAAUACGUUCCCGGGCCUU
rnacentral:rRNA from 1 species